rnacentral:lncRNA from 1 species
GCGGAAGACUUAAUGACCAAAGCUUGAAGACUCGACCCAUGUGACAGCACCAAGUGGCAAAUGGUGGAACCGAGGCCGGGAGCGAGCUUCAACGACUGUCACCUGGAAGGAGUGCUCAGGGCCUGGACAAACUUAAGACUGCCAUGUGUCCUCUUCACUGCCCUCUCGGUGGGAGGCCAGACAGGGCACACUGCCGUUGUUAUUUUGCCUAUUUACGGAAGGUACUUAAUGCAUAUGGCACAGAACUUCAAAAGGCAGAAGUCUGGAAAGAAGAAUACAACGCCACUUAGAUCAGAUGUUAACCUGCAGAAGGUCUUUGGGAAAUGGAUCUUUCAGAUUGUUCCGAAUAUUCUGUUCCGAUGUUUGAAAUGGUACAGAAAACACAUGACUCACAACAGCCUGUAAAAGGAGUCCCUAUGGUGUGGCAUUUAUGACUGACCCAGGCCCUUGUGCCCUGUCUGGGGACCACUUAAACUUUGAUAUCCAUAUAUCUCCAUAUCUCGAUAUGGUGACUGUAUGUCUGUUGAUGGUGUGAAUUGAAGCCAGAGCUAUGACGCUGUGAAUAAAAUAGCUCUGGGGCCACA